UACGUAGGGUGCGAGCGUUGUCCGGAAUUAUUGGGCGUAAAGAGCUUGUAGGCGGUUUGUCGCGUCUGCUGUGAAAUUUCGGGGCUCAACCCCGAACUUGCAGUGGGUACGGGCAGACUAGAGUGUGGUAGGGGAGACUGGAAUUCCUGGUGUAGCGGUGAAAUGCGCAGAUAUCAGGAGGAACACCGAUGGCGAAGGCAGGUCUCUGGGCCACUACUGACGCUGAGAAGCGAAAGCGUGGGGAGCAAACAGG
rnacentral:rRNA from 1 species